AACGAACGCUGGCGGCAGGCCUAACACAUGCAAGUCGAGCGGGGGAGCAAUCCCUAGCGGCGGACGGGUUAGUAACGCGUGGGAACGUGCCCAAAGGUACGGAAUAGCCUCGGGAAACUGAGAGUAAUACCGUAUGUGCCCCUCGGGGGAAAGAUUUAUCGCCUUUGGAUCGGCCCGCGUUGGAUUAGGUAGUUGGUGGGGUAAUGGCCUACCAAGCCGACGAUCCAUAGCUGGUUUGAGAGGAUGAUCAGCAACACUGGGACUGAGACACGGCCCAGACUCCUACGGGAGGCAGCAGUGGGGAAUCUUAGACAAUGGGGGAAACCCUGAUCUAGCCAUGCCGCGUGGACGAUGAAGGCCUUAGGGUUGUAAAGUUCUUUUAGUUGGAAAGAUAAUGACGGUACCAACAGAAAAAGCCCCGGCUAA
rnacentral:rRNA from 1 species